rnacentral:rRNA from 1 species
CCGGCACGGGUGAGUAACACGUAUCCAACCUGUCGUCUACUCUUGGACAGCCUUCUGAAAGGAAGAUUAAUACAAGAUGGCAUCAUGAGUUCACAUGUUCACAUGAUUAAAGGUAUUCCGGUAGACGAUGGGGAUGCGUUCCAUUAGAUAGUAGGCGGGGUAACGGCCCACCUAGUCUUCGAUGGAUAGGGGUUCUGAGAGGAAGGUCCCCCACAUUGGAACUGAGACACGGUCCAA